UUAGCGGCGGACGGGUGGAGUAACACGUGGGUAACCUGCCUGUAAGACUGGGAUAACUCCGGGAAACCGGAGCUAAUACCGGAUAGUUCCUUGAACCGCAUGGUUCAAGGAUGAAAGACGGUUUCGGCUGUCACUUACAGAUGGACCCGCGGCGCAUUAGCUAGUUGGUGGGGUAAUGGCUCACCAAGGCGACGAUGCGUAGCCGACCUGAGAGGGUGAUCGGCCACACGGGGACUGAGACACGGCCCAAAC
rnacentral:rRNA from 1 species